rnacentral:rRNA from 1 species
AACGAACGCUGGCGGCAUGCCUAACACAUGCAAGUCGAACGAGACCUUCGGGUCUAGUGGCGCACGGGUGCGUAGCGCGUGGGAACCUGCCCUUAGGUUCGGAAUAACUCCCCGAAGGGGGUGCUAAUACCGGUUAAUGUCUUCGGACCAAAGAUUUAUCGCCUUUGGGUGGGCCCUCGUUGGAUUAGCUGGUUGGUAGGGUACAAGCCUACCAAGGCGACGAUGCAUAGCUGGUCUGAGAGGAUGACCAGCCACACUGGGACUGCGUCACGGCCCAGACUCCUACGGGAGGGAGCAGUGGGGAAUAUUGGACAAGGGGCGAAAGCCUGAUCAAGCAAUGCCGGGUGAGUGAUGAAGGCCGUAGGGUUGUAAAGCUCUUUGACCCGGGAUGAUAAUGACAGUACCGGGAGAAUAAGCACCGGCUAACUACGUG